rnacentral:rRNA from 1 species
AUUGAACGCUGGCGGCAUGCCUUACACAUGCAAGUCGAACGGCAGCACGGGCUUCGGCCUGGUGGCGAGUGGCGAACGGGUGAGUAAUACAUCGGAACGUGCCCUGUCGUGGGGGAUAACUAGUCGAAAGAUUAGCUAAUACCGCAUACGACCUGAGGGUGAAAGCGGGGGACCGUAAGGCCUCGCGCGACAGGAGCGGCCGAUGUCUGAGUAGCUAGUUGGUGGGGUAAGAGCCCACCAAGGCGACGAUCAGUAGCUGGUCUGAGAGGACGAUCAGCCACACUGGGACUGAGACACGGCCCAGACUCCUACGGGAGGCAGCAGUGGGGAAUUUUGGACAAUGGGGGCAACCCUGAUCCAGCAAUGCCGCGCGUGUGAAGAAGGCCUUCGGGUUGUAAAGCACUUUUGUCCGGAAAGAAAUCGCGCUGGUUAAUACCUGGCGUGGAUGACGGUACCGGAAGAAUAAGCACCGGCUAACUACGUGCCAGCCGCCGCAGUAAUAC